rnacentral:rRNA from 1 species
CCCUUAGAUGUUCUGGGCUGCACGCGUGCUACACUGAUUACUUCAACAAGUGUUUUAACUGGAGAGUUUGCUUAAUCCUGAAAUGUUAUCGUGAUGGGAGUAGAGUAUUGUAUUUGUUAAUCUUUAACGAGGAAUUCCUAGUAAGUGUAGGUUUAUAAGUUGUUCUGAUUACGUCCCUGCCCUUUGUACACACCGCCCGUCGCUCCUACCGAUUGAUUGAUCCGGUGAAUUACAUAGAAUUUUGCGUUUUACAUGACGGAAGAUGAAGUGUUUUAAACCUUAUCAUUUAGAGGAAGGAGAAGUCGUAACA